CAGCACCGCGGGAAUACGAAGGGGGCUAGCGUUGCUCGGAAUGACUGGGCGUAAAGGGCGCGUAGGCGGUUUGUACAGUUGGAUGUGAAAUUCCUGGGCUUAACCUGGGGGCUGCAUUCAAUACGUGCAGGCUUGAGUGGGGAAGAGGGUCGUGGAAUUCCCAGUGUAGAGGUGAAAUUCGUAGAUAUUGGGAAGAACACCGGUGGCGAAGGCGGCGACCUGGUCCUUGACUGACGCUGAGGCGCGAAAGCGUGGGGAGCAAACAGGAUUAGAGACCCCCGUAGUCCCUGUCUCUUAUACA
rnacentral:rRNA from 1 species